rnacentral:lncRNA from 1 species
UGUUAUUGCUAAACAUUGGUUCAGUUUGUCUUCUACACGAUAGUCAGAUAAAUCAUCAUUUUCUAAUUCUGUUUCUUUUAUGCAUUCGUCGAUGAUAUCCAUGAAGUAACAUGUGUCUUCUAUUGCAGGUGCUUUCAAAAAUUUGGAAAGAAUGAACUCAAUUUUCUCUUCUCCUAUUUCGAAAGUGAGUCGUCCUCGUUUUACGUCUAUGAUAG